UACGAGCGGCCCAAACGUUAUUCGGAUUUACUGGGCUUAAAGAGUUCGUAGGCGGUCCAUCAAGUGGGGUGUGAAAUCCCUCGGCUCAACCGAGGAAUUGCGCUCCAAACUGUUGGGCUCGAGGGAGAUAGAGGUGAGCGGAACUGAUGGUGGAGCGGUGAAAUGCGUUGAUAUCAUCAGGAACACCAGAGGCGAAGGCGGCUCACUGGGUCUCUUCUGACGCUGAGGAACGAAAGCUAGGGGAGCAAACGGG
rnacentral:rRNA from 1 species